AGGGAUCAUUACCAAAGAUGGCGGGCCUCCGUGCCCCCGUCCCCAACCCAUUGUUGACCAAAACCCUUUUUGCCUCGGGGGCAGAGCGUCCGCCGCCGCCCCCGGAGGACCAUUUAACGCUGUCUCUUUGCGUCGGAGUAUUGAUUAAAUAAAUGAAAACUUUCAACAACGGAUCUCUUGGUUCUG
rnacentral:misc_RNA from 1 species